rnacentral:rRNA from 1 species
GAUGAACGCUGGCGGCGUGCCUAAUACAUGCAAGUCGAGCGAACAGACGAGGAGCUUGCUCCUCUGACGUUAGCGGCGGACGGGUGAGUAACACGUGGAUAACCUACCUAUAAGACUGGGAUAACUUCGGGAAACCGGAGCUAAUACCGGAUAAUAUAUUGAACCGCAUGGUUCAAUAGUGAAAGACGGUUUUGCUGUCACUUAUAGAUGGAUCCGCGCCGCAUUAGCUAGUUGGUAAGGUAACGGCCUACCAAGGCAACGAUGCGUAGCCGACCUGAGAGGGUGAUCGGCCACACUGGAACUGAGACACGGUCCAGACUCCUACGGGAGGCAGCAGUAGGGAAUCUUCCGCAAUGGGCGAAAGCCUGACGGAGCAACGCCGCGUGAGUGAUGAAGGUCUUCGGAUCGUAAAACUCUGUUAUUAGGGAAGAACAAAUGUGUAAGUAACUAGGCACGUCUUGACGGUACCUAAUCAGAAAGCCACGGCUAACUACGUG